rnacentral:rRNA from 1 species
UACGUAUGUGGCAAGCGUUGUCCGGAAUUAUUGGGCGUAAAGCGCGCGCAGGUGGUUUCUUAAGUCUGAUGUGAAAGCCCACGGCUCAACCGUGGAGGGUCAUUGGAAACUGGGGAACUUGAGUGCAGGAGAGAAGAGUGGAAUUCCACGUGUAGCGGUGAAAUGCGUAGAGAUGUGGAGGAACACCAGUGGCGAAGGCGACUCUGUGGCCUGUAACUGACACUGAGGCGCGAAAGCGUGGGGAGCAAACAGG